ensembl:lncRNA
AAGAUCUCUGAUUGGAGGUUCUUCCCUUGUGGAGUCCUUCUAUGCAAGCCUAGAUCUUCAGAGACAGGUGUUUGAAGACAAUUUGAAGACAGUGUUUCUCCAGGAAGAUGCAUUUCAAUAUGCUUAGGCAACGUCAUGUUUAUGCAGCUGUGUUUUAUUACUCUUUUUAAUGCAUAAAUUUUCUGCUGUGCUACAAGGAGCAAGACUAAGGUGUAAUCCUGAUGCAUUCCGUGUAUGUAGCAACUCUCAAAAUCAAUUGGAGUUGAGCAUGUGAAAUGCAUCUCAGAUCAAGCUUAUAUAUUAAAAAACAAACAUCUGACAAACAUUUGUUUCUGCAAAAAGUGAGAGACCUAGAGCUUAGGGGAAAGCAUGUGCCUAAAAUCUAUAGACAGAAUAGGGAAUAUCUUCUAAAAUUAAAAUUCACCUACUUGAAGAACUGUCCAUACUCAGAUGACUUUUGUGCUGUUUGUCUCCAGUGAAUUGCUUCCACAAAAUGAUCGCUUCCAAGGCUGUGCUUUCAAUGGUGUUAUAAUUCCCUUUAACAGACACCUUGGUUGCAACCGAUGCUGUUAUUUGUUUUGUGUUAGAUAAAUACAUAAAACAACGAAUAUACAUUGUUGCACUUUUCUCAGUGAUCUUUCCAAAAGAAAAAAUAGAACUGAUGGCUACAGUUCACUAUCAAGCAUCAUUUUCUAAAGCCAUUACAAAGCAAGAGUGGGAAUGACAACAUCUAAGUAUCUUCUAGAAAGACAUAUAAACUAUGUGGUGUACUUGCACAAAACGCUGAAACAAUGCAGAUUAGACUGACAAAUAUAAGGUAAUGCUCUAGUGCUAAGAAAUGAUCUGUCUGCAUGUGUCAGAAAAAUCUGCUGGAGGCAGUUUUGGAAUGAAGAAGAGACAGAGAAGACAGGAAGGACCUUUUGGGCAACCUACAAAGAAAAGAUGCUGUGAAGAUAGGAAGUGGGUUCAUUCAAGAUGCCUAGCCCAUCUGGUAAUUUCGCAGCAAUCCAGUAAGCAUGUCUGCAGACGUAUUGUCCAUAGUCUUGCAGUGUGGUACUAAAUGUUGUUCUGUUUUUCUUUUCCAACAAAUUGGAAAUAUUGCUAUAGUCAUACAAAAUAUUAUUUUGAUUACAUGAUAUUAGCAUUGACACAAUUACUGAAUGUUAUACAUUUCAAUUACAUAUAUUUGUACAGCAUAUGAUUCUUGUUUCUGGAAAUCAAAGAUUUUCUUAAAUCAACAGAAUCCUUUUUGAAAAUGAUUUUCUUUGUGGACAGAAAUUAAAUGCUUUAAUUGCUAUAGACAAGCAUUUGUAACUGCAACUGAAGACAGUUCUUAUGAAGACAGAAUCAGAAGGCAAAGCUAUGUUUCAUUUGAAUAAAGCAGUAGCCAUUUUGUGUAGUAAUUAUAUUAUCCUGGAGUAAACAAGAGGGAAACUGAAAGAAGAUCCACUGCUCUGGAUGUCCAUAUAAGGACCACAUCAGAGAAAUUAGAAGUUGAAAAACAGAAAACAAAAACAAAUAAAACAAUACUGUUUCUCUUUCAUUUUGUUCUGUUACUGCAUUGUACAAGAUUUACAUAUACAUACAUUUACUUAAAAAAAAAAAAAAAUCUGGGAUUUCCAGCAUUUCUGGAAAACAUAGACGCAACCAGCAAAUAAGUACUUCCAUUGUAAGCAGGUAUUUUCAGCAGUAAUAUAUGUUUAGUUCAAAGGUAAUAUGAGAUUAUUUCUGACUUCAUUGUUAGGUUAUUUGAAAAAAAAAUAAUAGUUUUCAUUAUGUGUU